rnacentral:rRNA from 1 species
AUUACUCCUACGGGAGGCAGCAGUGGGGAAUUUUGGACAAUGGGCGAAAGCCUGAUCCAGCCAUGCCGCGUGAGUGAAGAAGGCCUUCGGGUUGUAAAGCUCUUUUGUCCGGGAGGAAAUCCCGUAACCUAAUACGUUACGGGGACGACAGUACUGGAAGAAUAAGCACCGGCUAACUACGUGCCAGCAGCCGCGGUAAUAAU